rnacentral:rRNA from 1 species
UACGUAAAGUCCAAACGUUAUUCGGUAUCACUGGGCUUAAAGCGUUCGUAGGCGGCCUAGAAGGUGUGAUGUGAAAGCCCACGGCUCAACCGUGGAACUGCGUCGCAAACCACUAGGCUUGAGGAAGACAGGGGUGAAGGGAACUUAUGGUGGAGCGGUGAAAUGCGUUGAUAUCAUAGGGAACACCGGUGGCGAAAGCGCUUCACUGGGUCUUUUCUGACGCUGAGGAACGAAAGCUAGGGUAGCGAACGGG